UGGUCCUGGACAGGAGGAGGGGGCUGUCUCACCCCUCUGGCUCCUUCAGAGAGGGCAGGAGAGCAUGGAGGUCACGGGGUGCUGGGGAAAGCACUGGGCCGGGAGUCAGGGGACCGGGUUCUAGGCGCCGGCCCUUGACCUCCUUGCUCCUUGCCUAGUACUGGGCGACGACCCACCGAUCUCGCUCCCUACUGUUGAAAGGGACAGAAAAGAGCACACGUGAUGGUGGCAACAUCUGCUGUGGCAGCUGUCUGGCUGCUCUGUGGGCAAAGCACGCCACCCUCACUCCAGGUGGACAGUCAAGCUCUGGUCUGUGUCGGGCCCCACAGCGCUAAACUUGUCAUCCACUGCGACCCAGUCACCCCAACUCUGCGCCUGUCUCCUCCACGACAGAACCUGGGGGCUUGAAGGCGCCAUAGAGCACGUGUGCGGUGGGACCCCAGCCAACCCGGCAGGACUAAGGAGGACCCUGGACUGUCAUCUUCAGGUGGGCAGUACAGAGAUGGAACAAUGGAGAAAUGUCAGAUGUACCUUACCUGCCCGCCUCCUGAGAGCCUCAGAGAUACUGGGAUUUCAGUGCAAGAAGGGACUUACGGAUCACUGGUGCCCAUCCUUUUGUUUUUCAGUAUCCAUUGUCUGGAUGUCCAGAGCUUGUCCAUCCAUUCACCUAUUGACGGACAUUUUUGUUGUUUCCAGUUUGGACAGUUAUGAGAAGAGCUGCCAUAAGCAUUUGCAUGUAAGUUUUGUGUGCACGUAAGUUUUCUGUUCUCUAGAGUAAAUAUCCAAGAAUGGG